ensembl:rRNA 5S_rRNA 5S ribosomal RNA
GUCUAUGGCCAUGCUACCCUGCACAAGCCUGAUCCUGUCUGAUCUUGGAAGCCAAGCAGGGUCAGGCCUGGUUAGUAUUUGAAUGGCAGACCACCUAGGAAGACCAGGUGCUACAAGGCA